ACGGAGGAUGCAAGCGUUAUCCGGAUUCAUUGGGUUUAAAGGGUGCGCAGGCGGAAUGAUAAGUCAGUGGUGAAAUCCUACGGCUCAACUGUAGAAUUGCCAUUGAUACUGUUAUUCUUGAGUAUGGUCAAGGUAGGCGGAAUGUGUAAUGUAGCGGUGAAAUGCUUAGAUAUUACACAGAACACCGAUUGCGAAGGCAGCUUACUGGGUUAAUACUGACGCUGAUGCACGAAAGCGUGGGGAUCGAACAG
rnacentral:rRNA from 1 species